UCACUUUGGCAGUGAAUAUACUAAAAUUGGAAUAACACAGAGAUUAGCAUAGCCCCUGUACAAGAAUGACAUGCAAAUUUGUGAAGCAUUCCAUGUUUUU
rnacentral:snRNA from 1 species